AGUUUUUUAGUAUAUUGAGUAUGAAAAAUUGCAAAUUUUUAGGUUAAAAAACUUGAGUUUCGAGUCAUUAAUUU
rnacentral:tRNA from 1 species